rnacentral:rRNA from 1 species
UACGGAGGGUGCGAGCGUUGUUCGGAAUUAUUGGGCGUAAAGGGCGCGCAGGCGGGUUGCUAAGUCUGAUGUGAAAUCCCUCGGCUCAACCGAGGACGUGCAUUGGAUACUGGCAACCUUGAGUCCUGGAGAGGGAAGCGGAAUUCCCAGUGUAGAGGUGAAAUUCGUAGAUAUUGGGAGGAACACCGGUGGCGAAGGCGGCUUCCUGGACAGUGACUGACGCUGAGGCGCGAAAGCGUGGGGAGCAAACAGG